rnacentral:rRNA from 1 species
AACAUAAAAGUGGAGGCUAUUGUAACUGAAGAGAACUGGAAAGUUCCACCGUAGAAGGUAAUAGUCCUGUAAGUGAAACGAGAAGACCACGAGUUAUGAUCCAGAGUACCACGAGACACGUGAAACCUUGUGGGAAGCAGGGAGGACCACCUCCCAAGGCUAAAUACUACCUGAUGACCGAUAGUGAAGCAGUACCGUGAGGGAAAGGUGAAAAGAACCCCGGGAGGGGAGUGAAAUAGAACCUGAAACCGUGUGCCUACAACCGCUCAGAGCCCCUUAUGAGGGUGAUGAGGUGCUUUUUGUAGAACGAGCCAACGAGUUACGGUAUGUAGCAAGGUUAAGUACUUAAGGUACGGAGCCGAAGGGAAACCGAGUCUGAAUAGGGCGACUAGUUGCAUGCCGUAGACCCGAAACCGGGUGACCUAUCCAUGGCCAGGUUGAAGCGAGGGUAAAACCUCGUGGAGGACCGAACCACGUUGCUGUUGAAAAAGCAUGGGAUGAGCUGUGGAUAGCGGAGAAAUUCCAAUCGAACCCGGAGAUAGCUGGUUCUCUCCGAAAUAGCUUUAGGGCUAGCGUCGAGUAUGAGUAGUGGAGGUAGAGCACUGAAUGGGCUAGGGGGCAUAGCGCUUACCGAACCUUAUCAAACUCCGAAUGCCACAUACUUUGAGCUCGGCAGUCAGACUACGAAUGAUAAGAUCCGUGGUCAAAAGGGAAACAGCCCAGAUCGUCAGCUAAGGUCCCAAAGUGUAAGUUAAGUGGGAAAGGAUGUGAGAUUUCUAAGACAACUAGGAUGUUGGCUUAGAAGCAGCCAUUCAUUAAAAGAGUGCGUAAUAGCUCACUAGUCGAGAGAUCUUGCGCCGAAAAUGUAACGGGGCUAAACUUACCACCGAAGCUACGGGCUUGAACUUAGUUCAAGCGGUAGGAGAGCGUCGUAACCGGGCUGAAGUCGUACCGUAAGGAGCGGUGGACUGGUUACGAGUGAGAAUGUUGGCAUCAGUAGCGAGAUGUGGGUGAGAAUCCCACAGGCCGAAAACCUAAGGUUUCCUCAGGAAGGUUCGUCCGCUGAGGGUUAGUCGGGACCUAAGCCGAGGCCGAAAGGCGUAGGUGAUGGACAACUGGUUGAUAUUCCAGUACCACUACCAUCGUUAUUAUCGAUGGCGUGACGCAGGAGGAUAGUGUGUGCUAGCUAUUGGAUGCUAGUCUAAGCGUUUAGGCAGUGAGAGUAGGCAAAUCCGCUCUCAUAAUGCUGAGGCGUGAUGGGGAAGGUUCUACGGAACCGAAGUACAUGAUUCCACGCUGCCAAGAAAAGCGUCUAGAGAGAGAAGUAGUGCCCGUACCGCAAACCGACACAGGUAGGUGAGGAGAGAAUCCUAAGGCCGGCGGAAGAAUUACAGUUAAGGAACUCGGCAAAUUGACCCCGUAAGUUCGCGAGAAGGGGUGCCUACGAGAGUAGGCCGCAGAGAAUAGGCCCAAGCAACUGUUUAGCAAAAACACAGGUCUCUGCUAAAGCGUAAGCUGAUGUAUAGGGGCUGACGCCUGCCCGGUGCUGGAAGGUUAAGGGGAACACUUAGCGCAAGCGAAGGUGUGAACUUAAGCCCCAGUAAACGGCGGCCGUAACUAUAACGGUCCUAAGGUAGCGAAAUUCCUUGUCAGGUAAGUUCUGACCCGCACGAAUGGCGUAAUGACUUGGGCACUGUCUCAACUGUAAAUCCGGCGAAGUUGUAGUGCGAGUGAAGAUGCUCGCUACCCGCGAUUGGACGGAAAGACCCCGUAGAGCUUUACUGUAGCUUAGCAUUGAGUUUUGGUAUUGUCUGUACAGGAUAGGUGGGAGACUAGGAAACCAGGGCGUCAGCCUUGGUGGAGUCAACCUUGGGAUACCACCCUGACAGUACUGAAAUUCUAACUGGCGGCCAUGAAUCUGGUCACAGGACAUUGUUAGGUGGGCAGUUUGACUGGGGCGGUCGCCUCCUAAAAAGUAACGGAGGCGCCCAAAGGUUCCCUCAGAACGGUCGGAAAUCGUUCGAAGAGUGCAAAGGCAGAAGGGAGCCUGACUGCGACACCCACAAGUGGAGCAGGGACGAAAGUCGGGCUUAGUGAUCCGGUGGUACCUCGUGGGAGGGCCAUCGCUCAACGGAUAAAAGCUACCUCGGGGAUAACAGGCUGAUCUCCCCCAAGAGUCCACAUCGACGGGGAGGUUUGGCACCUCGAUGUCGGCUCGUCGCAUCCUGGGGCUGAAGUAGGUCCCAAGGGUUGGGCUGUUCGCCCAUUAAAGCG